GAUGAACGCUGGCGGCGUGCCUAAUACAUGCAAGUCGAGCGAACAGAUGAGGAGCUUGCUCCUCUGACGUUAGCGGCGGACGGGUGAGUAACACGUGGAUAACCGACAGAUAAGACUGGGAUAACUUCGGGAAACCGGAGCUAAUACCGGAUAAUAUAUUGAACCGCAUGGUUCAAUAGUGAAAGACGGUUUUGCUGUCACUUAUAGAUGGAUCCGCGCCGCAUUAGCUAGUUGGUAAGGUAACGGCUUACCAAGGCAACGAUGCGUAGCCGACCUGAGAGGGUGAUCGGCCACACGGGAACGGAGAAACGGUCCAGAUCCCUACGGGAGGCAGCAGUAGGGAAUCUUCCGCAAUGGGCGAAAGCCUGACGGAGCAACGCCGGGUGAGUGAGGAAGGUCUUCGGUUCGUAAAACUCUUUUAUUAGGGAAGAACAAAUGUGUAAGUAACUAUGCACGUCUUGACGGUACCUAAGCAGAAAGCCACGGCUAACUACGU
rnacentral:rRNA from 1 species